rnacentral:rRNA from 1 species
UACGGAGGGUGCAAGCGUUAAUCGGAAUUACUGGGCGUAAAGCGCGCGUAGGCGGCUGGAUAAGUCGAUUGUGAAAGCCUUGGGCUCAACCUGAGAAUUGCAGUCGAGACUGUUCGGCUAGAGUGUGGGAGAGGGUGGUGGAAUUCCCGGUGUAGCGGUGAAAUGCGUAGAGAUGCGGAGGAACACCGAUGGCGAAGGCAGCCCCCUGGGACUAACACUGACGCUCAGGCACGAAAGCGUGGGGAGCAAACGAGG